rnacentral:tRNA from 1 species
GCACCUAUAGCUCAGCUGGAUAGAGUGGUGGACUUCGAAUCCAAAGGCCGUGAGUUCGAAUCUCGCUAGGUGCA